GGCAAGUAUAUAAAGAAAUUAUUAUGGAUAAUUAGCUAUAUAUUAAAGAAUAUCUAGUCAAUCUAGUUUCUAAGAGAAAUCAGAUAAUAAACGAAGUGAAUUGAAAUAUCUUAGUAACUUCAGGAAAAGAAAUCAAACGAGAUUGUUAUUUGGUGUAAACUAAAUAACAAAAGCCUAAAAACAAAACUUGUUAAAGUAAAACGGAUUAAAGUCUGUUUGAAUAAAGGGGAACCUUCCUCUAAGGCUAAAGAUGAUAUAUAAGCGAUAGUGAAAAGUACCGUGAGGUAAAAUUUGAAAUAGUAAUUUUAUAAGCAGCUCGAGUGAAAUUUAAAUAAAAAAUAAGAGCGUACCUUUUGCAUAAUGGGUCAGCAAGUUAAUUUUAGAUGCAAGCAAUGAUUUCAUGCACUUCAGGCAUGAAACUAGCUUAGAUAAACCAAUUAUGAAAAAAUGAAUAAGUAUCUAGAAUUAGACCCGAAGGCUAGUGAUCUUACCAUGGUCAGGGUUAUAAAAGCCCGAACGGGUUAUCGUUGUAUAGAUAUCCGAAGAACUGUGGUAAGUUAGUGAAAGACAAAACUGACUAGUAUAGCUGGUUUUCCGCGAAACCUAUAUGAGUAGGUAAUUUAAUUAACAUCUUAGCAGGUACAGAACUGUGAUCUCGGACAAUAUCUUUUGAUUUUGUCAACAUCGGGGGGUUGUAGUGACUUUACCGGAGAGUAUUUGCACUCGGAAUGGCAAAGAUGAAUGUUGAAUAAUCGGACAUAGUGCGAUAAGGUUGUAUGUCUAAAGGGAAACAGCCCAGAACAAGAGUUAAGGUUCCAAAAUUAUUGUUGAGUGAAAUUAAGGAUGUUUUUUUUUAAUACAAUCAGGAAAUAGGCUUAGAAGCGGCCAUUUUUGAAGACCUCGUAACAGAGCACUGAUUAACUUUUUAGAAAAAAACACCGAAAAUUUAACGGAUCUAAACAAUAUACCGAAACCUUGUACACAUUUAUAUAAUAAUAAUAUUGUAUAUGUGGGGUAGCGGAACAUUGGAUAAAUAUUAAUUAUUAUUUCUUUAUUAAGAAAUAAUAAGUAUGGAUUAUUAUUAUUAAACUAAAACUAAAUUAAAUAAGUAUGAAUUAUUAUUAAUAAACUAAAUUAAAUUAAAUUAAAUUAAUCCAUUAAUAUAAUCCAAGAGAGAAUGCUGACAUGAGUAACGAAAAAGGAAUAUCCUCGCCUAAAGCUUAUGGUAUUAUAUUUAAUUUUCGGUAUCUAAAUAUAUUAAUCAAAAGGUAAUUUUGAUGAUAUUUUUAUAAAAAAAUACUUAAAAGUAAAAAACAAAACCUUUAACAAGUAAUAAAGGUUCUGGAAAAUUUUUUACUUUAAAUAAAAUAUUAUUAAACUUAUAGUCUUAUGAGUAAAGCUCAAUAUGUUAUAUUGUAUUUACUAUAUAACUUCUUGUUACAAGUUUUCAAGAUUGUAUAGUUUAAAUACAAUUUAAUAGAGUUUUAUAAAAAAAAGAUAUAUCUUAUUUUUAUCUUUUACAUUAUUGUAUAUAUUAAGACUAUAUACAAAUAUAUAAUGUAAAUAUAAUAAGGUUUUUUAUAUACCGUACCUAGAUACUAUCACAAGUAAGCAAGUAGAGAAUACAAAGGCGUUUGAGUGAACAAUCAUUAAGGAACUCGGCAAAUUGACUACCGUAACUUCGGGAUAAGGAGGGCCAUUAUGAUUAGUUUAACAUACCUUACAGGUAUGAUUUAAUUAAACU
rnacentral:ncRNA from 1 species